rnacentral:rRNA from 1 species
UACAGAGGUCUCAAGCGUUGUUCGGAAUCACUGGGUGUAAAGGGUGCGUAGGCCGCACGGUAAGUCAGAGGUGAAAUCCCGGAGCUCAACUUCGGAAUUGCUUCCGAUACUGCCGUGCUUGAGGACUGGAGAGGAGUCUGGAAUUCACAGUGGAGCAGUGAAAUGCGUAGAUAUUGUGAGGAACACUAGUGGCGAAGGCGAGACUCUGGACAGUUCCUGACGCUGAGGCACGAAGGCCAGGGGAGCAAACGGG